UCGAACGUGAAAGGGGGCAACCCCGAGUAAAGUGGCGUACGGGUGAGUAACACGUAGGUAAUCUACCCUAGAGUCUGGAAUAACCGGCCGAAAGGCUGGCUAAUACUGGAUAGAGCGACGGAAUCCGUAAUUGGGUUUUUCGGGAAAGGGAGGCUGUAAGGCCCUUCGCUCUAGGAUGAGCCUGCGUCCCAUCAGCUAGUUGGCGAGGUAACGGCUCACCAAGGCAAUGACGGGUAGCUGGUCUGAGAGGAUGAUCAGCCACACUGGAACUGAAACACGGUCCAGACUCCUACGGGAGGCAGCAGUGGGGAAUCUUGCGCAAUGGACGAAAGUCUGACGCAGCCACGCCGCGUGAGUGAAGAAGGCCUUCGGGUUGUAAAGCUCUGUCGGAGGGGACGAAAAUGGUCUGGGUGAACAGCCCAGGCAACUGACGGUACCCUCAAAGGAAGCACCGGCUAACUCUGUGCCAGCAGCCGCGGUAAUACAGAGGGUGCAAGCGUUGCUCGGAAUUAUUGGGC
rnacentral:rRNA from 1 species